AGAGAAUAGGCCCAAGCGACUGUUUACCAAAAACAUAGGUCUCUGCUAAGGCGAAAGGCGAUGUAUAGGAGCGGACGCCUGCCCGUGGCUGGAAGGUUAAGGGGAUCUGUUAGGGCAAUCGAGGCAGUGAACUUAAGCCCCAGUAAACGGCGGCUGUGACGAGAACGGUCCUAGGGUAGCGAAAUUCCUGGUCGGGUAAGUUCCGACCCGAACGAAAGGCGUAACGAUUUGGGCACUGUCUCAACAACAGACUCGGUGAAAUUGUAAUUCCGGUGAAGAUGCCGGAUACCUGCGACAGGACGGAAAGACCCCAUGGAGCUUUACUGUAGCUUGACAUUGGGUCUUGGUACUACAUGUACAGGAUAGGUGGGAGGCUUUGAAACCAGGACGCCAGUUUUGGCGGAGCCAUCCUUGGGAUACCACCCUUGUAGUACUGGGACUCUAACCAUAGGCCAUGAAUCUGGUCUUGGGACACUGUCAGGUGGGCAGUUUGACUGGGGCGGUCGCCUCCCAAAAGG
rnacentral:rRNA from 1 species